UAAGCAUGAAGCCCCCCUCAAGAUGAGAUUUCCCAUUCCUAUAAGGAAGUAAGAUCCCUGAAAGAUGAUCAGGUUGAUAGGUCUGAGGUGGAAGUGUGGCGACACAUGGAGCUGACAGAUACUAAUCGAUCGAGGACUUAACCUAAA
rnacentral:rRNA from 1 species